rnacentral:rRNA from 1 species
AGAUUGAACGCUGGCGGCAUGCCUUACACAUGCAAGUCGAACGGCAGCACGGGGGCAACCCUGGUGGCGAGUGGCGAACGGGUGAGUAACAUAUCGGAACGUGCCCUGGAGUGGGGGAUAACUAGUCGAAAGACUAGCUAAUACCGCAUACGAUCUACGGAUGAAAGUGGGGGAUCGCAAGACCUCAUGCUCGUGGAGCGGCCGAUAUCUGAUUAGCUAGUUGGUGGGUAAAGCCUACCAAGGCAUCGAUCAGUAGCUGGUCUGAGAGGACGACCAGCCACACUGGGACUGAGACACGGCCCAGACUCCUACGGGAGCAGCAGUGGGGAAUUUUGGACAAGUGGGCGCAAGCCUGAUCCAGCAAUGCCGCGUGAGUGAAGAAGGCCUUGGUUGUAAAGCUCUUUGUCAGGAAGAACGGUUCUGGACUAAUAUCUAGGAGCUAAUGACGGUACC